CAUCUUUACUUGAUUGGCACUGCUAGUUAUCAUUGCUAACAACAAUAACUUCUUGAAAUGAGUAUCCUUUGAUGUCCAGUUACAACUAUAUUAAUUUUUACAUAUAUGUGAAUAAUGUCGGAGGGAGAGACACCAAAGUUUUUCAGAAUUGAAAAAAUCUAUAUCAAAUCACCCAGAAUGGUUUACGACUAUGACAAUUUGUAUUUUUAAUUUUAUACCUGUUUUUCCUAGUACAUGAUAAAAAAAAUAUAUAGAUAGUAAAUUAUACCUCUUGUUCAUUAUAAAGUCUAAAAUUUUCAACAAUUAUAGUUUUAACUCGUAAUUAUGAAUUACAAUGUAAAAUUGUUUGAACAAUAUUAAUGAUUUUCAAUUUGAUGAAAAAGAAUUAUUAUGUCAGAGGCAUGAAAAUAUUGCUAACAUAUGCGAGUAUCUAUAAAGACAAUCUACAUAGCCUUAUAAAGAGGAAACUUAUCUAGUAGUAUGCCAAAAAAGAAGAACUAAAUAAAAGAAAUAGCACAUCUAAAGAUAAAUAACUUCGAUUUGAUAAAGUAGUUGAUGACCAAAUGUAUGAAGAGUUGAUUCAAUAGUUUUUAGUUGUGCGAGUACCGUCAAACCUAAUGAAAUCACAAAGUUGUCAAAAAUAAUGCACAUAGUUAUACUAUGGACCAC